UACAGAGGUCUCAAGCGUUGUUCGGAUUUACUGGGCGUAAAGGGCGCGUAGGCGGCCACGACAAGUCACUUGUGAAAUCUCCGGGCUUAACUCGGAACGGUCAAGUGAUACUGUCGGGCUAGAGUACAGAAGGGGCAACUGGAAUUCUCGGUGUAGCGGUGAAAUGCGUAGAUAUCGAGAGGAACACCUGCGGCGAAGGCGGGUUGCUGGGCCGACAC
rnacentral:rRNA from 1 species